CUGGGAUCUGGGGGUACAGCUGUUUGUUCCGGUGACGUUGGCCUUGCCAGGACAGCUGCGUUGUGAAAAUGAAUCUGAUAAUCGGAGCGAAUCAGAGGCCUAGGUUGUGACGGACCGACUGUGUCCUCCCCACCAGAUUCACACGUUGAAGUCCUGAUCCCCAAGGGGACGGUGUUGGGAGGUAUUGACCUCGAUUGAUACUGCUAAAUAACAUACUCUGUCUAGGUCUUCAUUUAGCAGUUUUAUGUACUAUCUACAGACUUUCAGCUAUGACAGGGUGGCUGCAGCAUUUACAUUCUCACCGGCAAUAUAGGAGUGACUAGCUUCUCUGAAUCCUGGCCUGCAGGAAAAAUCUAUCUGGGAUUUUGAAAGGAACUUUGAAUGUUAAACUUGUAUAUCAAUUUGAGGAGGAUUGACACCUUUACUAUGUUGAGUCUUC